UCAGGACGAACGCUGGCGGCGUGCUUAACACAUGCAAGUCGAGCGGAAAGGCCCCUUCGGGGGUACUCGAGCGGCGAACGGGUGAGUAACACGUGAGCAACCUGCCCCUGACUCUGGGAUAAGCCCGGGAAACUGGGUCUAAUACCGGAUAUGACCACGGGUCGCAUGGCCUUGUGGUGGAAAGUUUUUCGGUUGGGGAUGGGCUCGCGGCCUAUCAGCUUGUUGGUGGGGUGAUGGCCUACCAAGGCGACGACGGGUAACCGGCCUGAGAGGGCGACCGGUCACACUGGGACUGAGACACGGCCCAGACUCCUACGGGAGGCAGCAGUGGGGAAUAUUGCGCAAUGGGCGGAAGCCUGACGCAGCGACGCCGCGUGGGGGAUGACGGCCUUCGGGUUGUAAACCUCUUUCAGCAGGGACGAAGCGAAAGUGACGGUACCUGCAGAAGAAGCGCCGGCUAACUACGUGCCAGCAGCCGCGGUAAUACGUAGGGCGCAAGCGUUGUCCGGAAUUAUUGGGCGUAAAGAGCUCGUAGGCGGUUUGUCGCGUCUGUCGUGAAAGCCCACGGCUUAACUGUGGGUCUGCGGUGGAUACGGGCAGACUAGAGGCAGGUAGGGGAGAAUGGAAUUCCCGGUGUAGCGGUGAAAUGCGCAGAUAUCGGGAGGAACACCGGUGGCGAAGGCGGUUCUCUGGGCCUGUACUGACGCUGAGGAGCGAAAGCGUGGGGAGCGAACAGGAUUAGAUACCCUGGUAGUCCACGCCGUAAACGUUGGGCGCUAGGUGUGGGGUUCUUCCACGGAUUCCGCUCCGUAG
rnacentral:rRNA from 1 species